rnacentral:rRNA from 1 species
AGUUUGAUCCUGGCUCAGGAUGAACGCUGGCGGCAGGCUUAACACAUGCAAGUCGAGGGGUAACAGGGGUUUCCGCCCGCUGACGACCGGCGGAUGGGUGAGUAACGCGUAUGCCACCUACCUUUAACAGUGGGAUAGCUCCCUGAAAGGGGAAUUAACACCGCAUAAGACCACGUUGUCACCUGACAGAGUGGUAAAAUAUUUAUAGGUUACAGAUGGGCAUGCGUGACAUUAGCCAGUUGGUGAGGUAACGGCUCACCAAAGCAACGAUGUCUAGGGGUUCUGAGAGGAAGGUCCCCCACACUGGUACUGAGACACGGACCAGACUCCUACGGGAGGCAGCAGUGAGGAAUAUUGGUCAAUGGACGCAAGUCUGAACCAGCCAUCUCGCGUGCAGGAUGACUGCCCUACGGGUUGUAAACUGCUUUUUUACGAGAAGAAACUUGUCUACGUGUAGAUAAUUGACAGUAUCGUAUGAAUAAGGAUCGGCUAACUCCGUGCCAGCAGCCGCGGUAAUACGUAGGUGGCAAGCGUUGUCCGGAUUUACUGGGUGUAAAGGGCGUGUAGGCGGGGAUGCAAGUCAGAUGUGAAAUCCCGUGGCUCAACCACGGAAUUGCAUCUGAAACUGCGUUUCUUGAGUGUCGGAGGGGAAAGUGGAAUUCCUAGUGUAGCGGUGAAAUGCGUAGAUAUUAGGAGGAACACCGGUGGCGAACGCGACUUUCUGGACGACAACUGACGCUGAGACGCGAAAGCGUGGGGAGCAAACAGGAUUAGAUACCCUGGUAGUCCACGCCGUAAACGAUGAGCACUAGUUGUUGGUUCCGCAUGGAAUCAGUGACGCAGUUAACGCAAUAAGUGCUCCGCCUGGGGAGUACGGUCGCAAGACUAAAACUCAAAGGAAUUGACGGGGACCCGCACAAGCAGCGGAGCAUGUGGUUUAAUUCGAAGCAACGCGAAGAACCUUACCAGGUCUUGACAUCCCUCUGACAGGCUCUUAACCGAGCCCUUCUUCGGACAGAGGAGACAGGUGGUGCAUGGUUGUCGUCAGCCCGUGUCGUGAGAUGUAGGGUUAAGUCCCAUAACGAGCGCAACCCUUGUCGUUAGUUACUAACAUUAAGUUGAGGACUCUAGCGAGACUGCCGAGGUUAACUCGGAGGAAGGUGGGGAUGACGUCAAAUCAUCAUGCCCCUUAUGAUCUGGGCUACACACGUGCUACAAUGGUCGGAAACAAUGGGAAGCAAAGCGGUGACGUGGAGCAAAACACCAAAACCGGCCCCAGUUCGGAUUGCAGGCUGCAACUCGCCUGCAUGAAGUCGGAGUUGCUAGUAAUCGCGGAUCAGAAUGCCGCGGUGAAUGCGUUCCCGGGUCUUGUACUCACCGCCCGUCAAG